UACAUUGUAAUGGAAUAUUGUGAAGGAGGGGAUCUGGCUAGUGUAAUUACAAAGGGAACCAAGGAAAGCAAUACUUAGAUGAAGAGUUUGUUCUUCGAGUGAUGACUCAGUUGACUCUGGCCCUGAAGGAAUGCCACAGACGAAGUGAUGGUGGUCAUACCGUAUUGCAUCGGGAUCUGAAACCAGCCAAUGUUUUCCUGGAUGGCAAGCAAAACGUCAAGCUUGGAGACUUUGGGCUAGCUAGAAUAUUAAACCAUGACACGAGUUUUGCAAAAACAUUUGUUGGCACACCUUAUUACAUGUCUCCGAACAAAUGAAUCGCAUGUCCUACAAUGAGAAAUCAGAUAUCUGGUCAUUGGG
rnacentral:lncRNA from 1 species